GCGGUGACGGAGGUUGCGGCGGUGGCGGCUGCGGCGCAGCCCCAGGCGGCGGGUGGGAAGAGGACUACCAGAGGGGCCUGCGGGAGACCCAGGGUCGGACCCGUAGGAGUCCUGUCGUCAGGACCUCCUUGAUCGUUCUUCUGCUUCGGUUCCCGGGGAAGGAGGAGCUUCGGGGUGCUGGCUGGGCUGCGCGGACUCCUCUUGGGAUCCGAUGAUGGAUCCCACCGGGCGAUCGGCAAUGGGGUCAUAAUGCAGUGAGGCGGAAAGGGUCUCGCUGGGGCACAGAAAGAUCCCCAGGGCCGCAAGGCGUGUGGUCGGCUGCAAAGGCACUGACCCAUGAGCCCACUGCCUCCCACCUUCCUGGGUGGAGCAGGGGCCUGCCUUCAUCUCCAAGGCCCGGGGGCUCCGGCAUCCCGACGCGGCUUCUGGCGACACCGGCAAAGACAGACAGAGGCGAGUCCGAGCUGGAGCCCGUGUGACCACACGUGGCACUGACGUCCCCCAAGAGCACAGGCAGUGAGCGUGUGUCUUUGAGGCCAUAGGGGGCAACGACGAGACGGACAGGGAUUUCCAGGCGUGCGCCCGGGGGCCACUGGAGACCUGCCCCACAAAGCGGAGGAAAAGCCAAGCGCUCCUGAAAACCUGCGAGGCAGGGCCUGUGCGCGAGUCCAGGCCACAUUCAGGGAGGCCCGCCAGAGGAGCCCAGAGCUUUGGACCAAGUACACCCCACCCCCACGCCGCUACCGCUUAGGUACCCCUGACGCAACCUCCCCUGCACCCAGCCAAAACCCAGUCCCGUUGGCUCCCUGACAUCCGUAGCAGCCAAAAGAUUCACUGCUAGAAGGCACUUUCCCCAGGAGCGGAGGAACCGGUUGGCUCUCAAGGAUCAGACAGGAAGUGCAGGUAUGGAAGCCCAGAGCUCCAGGAUCACCACACCUGCCCAAUCAUCCAGAAAGAGGUGUGGAGAGGGAAACGAUCAUGACACGGACCCCCACGAGGUUUCUCCCUGAUGGACUGGGAAGUCUUCUUUGUUGGAGACAUUGAGCCAGACUAAGAAGCCGCCAGGCUUCUCAGAGACGGGGCAGACACAGCAAGAGGGAGGACAGAGCAGAGGCCAGAGCCCAGGCAGGAUACGGGGCCAUGCCACCACCACGGGCAUCCGGGGAGGAGUGUCAAACGGGUGACUCAGCCACGAACGCCAGCAUUUGAGUGACAGAGAUGCUUGCCCCAUCCCCUUGCCGGCUUCCUUCUCCGUCCCUGCGUCGAGCUGUGGCAAGAUUUCUCGAUGAGGGCAGAGGGCGAGAGGCGUGAGAACCAUCUACUUAAAGGUCUGCGGGCACCCUCCUGCGGCUGGACAAUGAGCGCCUGGGAGGCCGUUGUCCUGGGUUGGGGAGCAGUCGUCUGGAUCUAGCCUAGCAAAGAGGCUGUUUCGGAUGGGGAGGGGAUGAAAACCCCUGCGGCUCCGACGCAGAUGCCCACAUUGCCCAGGCCGACGUGCAAGAAGCCCACCCUCUGGCGCACAGGGCACAUGUGUCCCAAGGCACACGCACACACAGACGGACAGAGAGAGAAAGAGAGGUCGACGGAAAGAGCGAGAAGGGAGAGAGAGAGAGACGUAAGAGAGAGACAGAAGUGGGCACACAGACAUGCACACGUGCACACACACACAGACACACGCACACACACCCCCAUAACGCACACAGACAUACAGUAGGUAACACCCACCCCCAGGCAGGCCCUGAAGUUGCCGGGUUCUGCUCUCCGCGACUACGAGCCACCGGUGAGAGAGCAGCCCACGGGCACACAGGCAGACCUGUCCUUGACAUCACAAGGGCACCAUUUUUGGAGAGACUCACCUGCACACCCUCAGCGCACACCUGAGGCUGGGAUCCCGUGCUGCCUCCCCGGCGAUCUGUCUGAGGUGUUUUCCUCCAGGGGUUUCUUCCUGCUGGUGGACCCUCCACAAAUCCUGGCCUCCGGAGACCGUUCUGGUAACUGCCCUGGCCAGGACUGGUCUCAGCCCCAACUCUUAAAUAUAAGACCUGAAAUGACAAAAAAUCUAGAAAAAAAUCUAGGAACAGCUCUUCAGGAGAUUGACGUAGGCAGAAAAUUGCUGACUAAAACUGCAAAAGCAAAUGCAGCAAAAACAAAAAUAGACAAAUGGGACUUAAUUAGACUAAAAAGCUUCUGUACAACCAAAUAAAUAAUCAACAGCAUAAAUAGAUAAAUUACAUCUAUGGUAGAAAGUAUUUUCAAACUCUACAUCUGAUAAAGGACCAAUAUGCAGAAUCUAAAAGAACUCAAACAACUAAAGAAGAAAAACUGUAAGUUUACUCAAAAGUGGGCAAUGGACAUGAACAGACACUUUUCAUAAGAAGACAUUCAGGUGACAAUAAGAAAAAAAAUGAUUAACAUCACUAAUCAAGAGGAAAAUGCAAAUUAAAGCCACAAUAAGAUGCGAUCUCAUACCAGUCAAAAUGGGUAUUAGAAAGUCAAAAAAACUACAGAUGUUGCUGAGUAUGUGGAGCAAAGGAAAUACUUUUUCACUGUGAGUGGGAAUGUAAAUUAGUAUAAACUGUAAAGAAAACAAUAUGGAGAUUUCUCAAAGGGCUAAAAAUAGAAAUACCAUUUCAUCCAACAAUCCCAUUAGUGUGUAUCUACCCACAGGAAAGCAAAUCAUUACAUAAAAAAGACACCUGCACCUGUAUGUUUAUCACAGUACUAUUCAUGGUAGCAAAGUCAUGGAAUCAACCUAAGUGUCCAUUAAU
rnacentral:lncRNA from 10 species